CGCCGGCCCCGCCCCCGGGCCCAUCCCAAGAUGGCGGAAAUUCCCCCGGUACUUUGUGGACUUGCCGGAUGACUUAGACGAUUAUGGAUUUGAGGAGUUCGGGCCAGAUGGUCACCGCACGAAGGUGACAGCCUUCUCGGACAUUCCGGACCAGGACAACCUGCCACCGCUCACUUGCCUGGAAGAGUCCACUUUCAGCGAUAGCAUCUUCAAGCCGUUAGAAAAUGAAGUCAGGAAGUGUUGUUGGUUCUUCUGGAGCAAGACCUAAUUUUCCAGCACGAUGUUGAAAACACGGUGUGUCCCCGACGGCGAGGAUGAGUCCAGAGCAGAAGCCGCGAACGCUGGCUUCAGUGCUGAGCAAGGGCAGAGCUGAACGCCUGCUGCUCCCUGGGUUCUGUGAACUCUGUGCUGAUGGGAAGCUCUUUCACGUUCGGAAGGUGCUCCAGGCUGCCUUCCAGGCCCGAGGCCCCUUCAUCUCCACCUUUGCAAACCCUUCUAGGGCUGGCCCUUAUAUUCGAGGGGACGGCACCCUCCGACCACGGGCUCCAGAUUUGGACUCGGGCUUCACCCCCGCGUCCCCCAGCAGGGGCAGCGGUGGCAGCGCGUCCUCAGCUGGGAAAAUGUGAGGUCUCCCCAGAAGACUUCUGUGCCAUAGGAUCUUACGUGCAUGGAGAGGUGACAUUGCUGAACCACUGUUAGUGGGCCCUGCGCUGUGUUCCUAGGAAAACCUUGGGAACCGAAGGUUCUGGUAGCGGGCCUCGGAGCAGACGGAGCAUCUGUCCGGGUAUUAAUCGACUUUCCCGGAUUGCAUAUUGAGCUGAUUCGUCAGGAUCCAUGAAGCUAGUGGACAGUAUGACAUUUCAAGUGCGAGGAGGAAGGUCCAUGCUAUGGUCGAAGGAGAAGGUUCAGCAGCAAACACCAGAAGUGUUUGUACACGUGAAAACUCAGAAGAGCUUGCUCCGCGAAUCCUCUUGGACUGGCCACGCUGUCUCCCUCCGUCUCCGUGGUCCCUCCCCCGCCUCUCCGCCCCCUGUCUGGAGUCUGGCCUUGCUGCCCCCUCCAGCCCCGGGGAGCUCCUGGAGGUGCUCGCUCGCUUGCUGCUUCUGGCCAGCAUCACCCUGCCUUCUGGAGCCGUCUCUGCUUUGAACAUGCGACUCUUACUUAAGGGCAUUGGUCAGCCACCCCGGGGACCCUGGGGCUUCAAGAAGGGGUCCAGGCCAGCCCUGCAGAGGAGCCAGUGACCAUCGGGAGGCUGGCCAGAGGCGUGACGCUGCCCCACUUGAAGAGAAUAAAUCUAAAUUACAGAGAAAAAGCUAAGUGGCUGAUGUCUUGGGAAGCCUGAGUCCCGUCAGUUGGCAAGAAGCGGCGAGGAGCAGAGGGAAGGGGCUGCAGCCGUCUCGCUGGGGCAGUUACAAGAAAAGAGGAGACAGGUGCCAUUGGCCAGAGCUGUGUGCGUCGGGCUAACCCAACGCCGACCCUCUGGACUGGGCUCUGGGAUAGCAAGCGCUGGGCCGAUUUCAGAGAGAUGAAUGCAGGCAUCGCUUUAACUGUGGGCCACGUGGAAAUCUCACUCCCUGCAAAGCAAGACGCUCGCCCCGCCCAGCCCCGAGCUUCGGGGAGGCCUCCUGCCCUCGUGGAGGACAGAGCGCCUCACCCGCUGCCCCAUCACCGUCAGUACGAUCAGUAUGUGUCCACGACCGACCCGGCUCGAGCCCAGACCGUCGAUACCGACAUAGCCAAACACUGCGCCUCCAGUCUGCCGGCGGUGGCACUUGCCCUGGGCAGGCCCCAUUGGCACUCCCUCAAGGACACCUACGAGACGCUGGCUUCCGAUGUGCAGAGACGGCCUCCGGCUCUUGGUGACACUGAGUUGUGCUUUUGCCUUUGUGGUCGGUGUGUCUGCUGUGCGCCCCCAGCGGAAGGUACGUCGGACCCUGGCCUUCUCUGUCCACGAGCCGGCUGUCAUCCUCGGCAAUCAGCUCACGGCCGCCGACCGGGUGCCCAUCUUCAACGGAUUUUUAAAGGACCUGGAUGCAGUGCGCACAGGCGUUCUUAGGCACCUGUGUGCCUUUCUAAAGGUAGGAAGAAGGAUUGAAAGCAACAGACUCCCCGCUUCAGCACCGUUGUUUAAACCCCUGCAUAUGUAAGGUAUCAGUGAAAAAAACAAAAGGCAGCUGUCUGGGUUUUUUCCAGUUGAAACAGAUCAUCCCGACCCUAAAGUGGGUGUUCUUUCAGCGAUGGGUGGCUAUUUUUUAUAGCUUUCCUCCUAAUCGCCCUGGCCCUUGGAGCUCUAAUUCCACGGAGGCUGGUAGACAGAUGGCCCAGCACACUGCAAGAAAGAAGGACUGGGCUCCCUGGGGGUGUGUGACGUGCCGGCGGUCAGCUAAGAGAAGAGCCCUCUGAAAUCCAGUCUCAGCUCUGCACGAAGGACUCUUUCUUACAAGACGUUGCUGCUUCCCUGCUUGCCAUUUUUUUUUGUCCCCCCAAAGGAAUGAUGAGUGUGAAAGUAAGAGUUAAAAUGACCCAGGGAAGCUAAUUACUCGCAUCCUCACGACCAAGAGCUGCCCUUGAUGGGCUCUGGUACGUGCUGUGGCGCCCAAGCAGGAGCGCGGGGCAGCGUCGCCUCCCCGGGAGGCAGCCGUGGCAUUAUCUUGCGAGCACACACGUGCUGGCUUGUUUUUCAGGCAGGAAAUUAUGAAAGAAGGCCGAGUGGGGGGCAUGUGGAGACACACACAAGCGCAUGCACUGGCCAGGGGAGAGGGGUGGAGGCGUGCAGGGCUGCACCUGACGGCUGUUAAGAGCAAAGCUAAUACACAGCCAGGCGGGGUAAUGGAGCCCGAGGCGUCAGGGCAUGGUUCUUGCCGGUGACAGAUGUAGGAUCUGAGGUAUAAUAGCACAGCACACUGGGGGACAUGUGGAAGGAUUAUAUAUUUUUCUCUACAUAUACAUUUUUAAAAAAUAGUCGCUUCAUGAAGACAAGAGGAGAGAAUGCCUUUAUCAGCUUCAGGCAUUUGCAGUGACCCAUAACAGCAGGAAUUGGAGGUUUCCAUGUGACCUGGCAGAGGACGUAAAACCUGUUUGGGGCUAUGAGAAGGCAAAUUGGAAUAAUUCUUAAUUUUCCUACCUUAUAAUUGAUUUCUAAAGCAGCAGUAAUGGUGUUCUUUGGGAUAAAGAGAUUAUGUUUUUAUUAAGGGAUAAACUGAAUUCCAAAGCUCGAAGUUCCAAAUACCACAGUCUCCGGAGACAUUCAUUUUCAGAGGCAGACAGGGCGAGAGUCACUUUGGAAUUAGAGUGUUCUGCUGUUCUAGAAGGCAAUUUAUUCGAACCAAAUAAAAGAUGAAUCACCCGCUCUUCAAUAUUCUCCUCUUAAUCGGAGCAGUUUUUUGCCAGAGCUUUCUUGAACAUUCUGAGUGCAGCCCCUCCCUGCAAAGGGGGGUGGCGUGGCUUCUACAUUUCAGCUCCUAAAGAAAAUUCUGCUACAGGGAGAGAUACGAAAAGGUCUAACCCAGAUGAGCUGAUUAUUAAAUAAAAACGUCCCCCAAGGAGGCUCAGAUCUGUACAUCAUUUUGUGUGCGAAAGAGUCAUUUAAUUCCAUUUCGUGCAGGCAAGAGGAAUGCUAUGAAGGGUUUAGGGAUUCUGAAAGGGCAAAAGCGUCACUUUAAGUAAUUCUCCUUUCCGAGGCUCUGAUGUGCUCUCCGCAGUACUGAGGGGGUUUGUGUGUGCGUGAUGUUGUUGUUUGGGUUUUAGUUUUCACCUUGCCGAGAUUUAUUUCAGUAUCUCUGGUUUUCAUUUUUCUUGUCCUCAACUAGCAAUCUCUCGAAUAAUUGUCUUCCCUGUAGAAACCCAUCAAGCUUUUGCAGCUCUUCAGGAUAUGAUGUGGCCGAUGCCGGGGGCAAACUAAAAGAUUUUCUCUUCGCUGUGAUCCUUAAUCAUUAUGCUUAAUUUGAGAGAUUGAGGCUUCAGUCAUUAUGCCAUGUUCCCGGCGUAUUAUUAUUCUAAGAGAACGGAGAAAAACAGGCCCACGUUUUUUUCCAUGAAGGCAUCGCGCCCUCUAGCGGCAGAACUCGGGAACUCGGCGAGGUCCGUCUCGAGCUGGGCUGGCCCGCUUGCCCGGGGAUGGAGGCCCCGGACGGGAUGGGGAUGGGGACGGGGAUGGGGUCGGCGCGGGCGGUGGGCACGGAGCCCGGCCCCGGGGACCAGGAUGGGAACGGGGACCCGGGAUGGAGUCGGACCUGGGGACCGACUGGCCCGCUUCCGCGGCCGGGGACCGGGGACGGGGACACAAGGACGUUGACGAUGUGGAACCCGAGCCGGUGCCGGCUGCGAUGACCCGCUUCCAGGGGCCCGGCCGGGCCGGCUCGUUUCGCCCCGACGGCGUUAUCUGCGGGCGCGGGCUAUCUCACAUCUCUGCGGUGGUUAUUGAUGCCAAAGCCACUGAUAGGAAUGCUGUGCUUCCGUGACCAUGAUAUUGGCAUCAUUUUUCUGAAAACAGUGCCUUUCGAUAUGAAAGUAUUCACCGGUACUCCUGGCUUCUGGUUCUAACUUCCCUACAAUCUCUUUUUCAUUUCCUUUCUAUGCCAGUGUGGAAAUAAUGCCAUUUAUUUUCAUACGCUUCUCCCCAUUCCCAUUUAGAAAAUAUCGAAGGCUUUGGUAGGUUUUUCCCACCAGCCAUCUGAUGAAUUUUUUCCCUGCGAGUAAAGCGGUCUGGCUCUCCAGGCGGACCUCGCUGGACUGAAAAGGCUUGUGCACAGUGCGUGAGCCGGCCAGCAAAAGCAGAAAAUUUAAUUUGCAGCUUCAGGAACGCUGCGGAGACAGUGAAAUCUCAUUUGUUUCCCCUUGAUCUGUUGAUCUUUGGGAACUUCAACAUUCUGGCUAUUUUUAUGUUAUCUGAUUUUUAAAGUUUUAUGUGCUUUCGAACUGAUAACCUAAAGUUGAAAUAUUAAAUCUCUAUUCAUAAAUUUCUCAGCCUCUGUUUUACAAAGUUUAAUUUAUAUCCUUUUUGUUUGAUUUGUGUGUGAGAGAGAGAUGAAGAAAUAAGAUUUUUUUCUUUCUCUUUUUUUUUUUUUUUCUUUUUUUGCAUGGCCGUUUUCACCCAGGUCUCUGCUUCUGUUGAUCUCCCAGCCUGGCUAUUUUUAUGUAUAAGAUGAAAUAAGAGUAAAGAGAGAUUCGUAAUGUGUUUUCUUGUCCCAUAAACAAAUUUCUUGUUUUUUUUCUUUAAUUUCAGACAGCUUAUACUGAUUUUGGAACUCUGUAAUUCCAAUGAUGUUUAUGAUUUUUUAAUGCAAAUUCCAUUAAAGCUGUGUGCCGAUAAAGUUUCUGAAGUUCGGUGGCUCUCCUUCAAACUAGUAAGAAAUCAUGACCUUUGAUGAUGUAUAUAAUACAUUUUUAUUCUAAUUUUUAGAACAAGGAAUAUUUAUGUUUCUUUCAUUUUAACUCCUUUAUCCCCCCCGCCCCCGGCCUUAAUUUGUCAAUCGACCCAUGAAAGCGGCUGUUAAGUUUUGAAAUUAGGGACUGUGUUAUAGCUUUAUCAAUCUGUGCGAUAGCUAUCUUUUUUUCUUUGAAGACAGCUGUUUUGUUAAGGCGAAUGCUCGAGUGAUGAAAAUUGUGGACAAAUCACUUUAUAUGUGAAACCCCUUAAACAGUGUCUUCGUGUUUUUCUAAAAAACAGGUUGGGUUUACUCUGUAGCACGGUUUUGUAGAAAAGUACUGAGCAAAGACUCCAGCCUAGACAAGCCGAUGCCAUUUUAUGAGGGCUUAUAUCAGCUGUGAAUACUGAGGGGAAAAAAAACCCACACUUGAAAAUACUGCUUUACUAAGGUACCCUGAUGGCGUUAAAAUUUUAUAAAAAUGACAUGUUCUGAAAGGUAAUGCUUUAGUUAUUAUGCAAGGGGACAUUGUCCAAAAUUUGGAAUCUUAAGAUUAAUAAUGUAUUUGUCUAAUGCCAGUCCCUUUUGAAAUCUCAUUUUUAUGAAGGAUUUUAUAUGCGUGAGUGUGUGUGUGUGUUGCCAUAGAUUUAAACAUCUUUUCCCCUCUGUGUUCUAAUGAUUACUGCGACAAAAAUGACUCUCUCCCAUGCUUAUAGAUUCAUUUUAAAGGUGGGAGGGUGCAUAAAAAUGUCUAGUUUCCAUGUAGAGUAGUACUCAUAAUUCAAAUAGAUGGCAGUAUUUUAAAUUUGCUCGUCUGAUAUUUUUCCCAGGUGGUGGCAAUUCUGCAGAAGUUCCGUUCAAACAGUGAGAGUGCCCUGGGAUUAAAUUUCAUCAAGGAGCUCACGCUAAGAUUCGGGCACUGUUCGAAGUGGGUCGGCAGGCAAGCUUGGGCUUUCAUGUGUCAGGUUAGCACCACCUGGGGGACAUGUCUGCCCUGGACGGAUGUUUGCCACGUGCAUUUCAUGAACAUCAGGAAAAGCAUCCCCGCUCUGGCGGAGGGACUAGCCAGGAACUUGGGGAUCAGCACACCGAACCCUCUUCACCCCCAGGAGAUUGUUGAGCAACCCAGUCAGGCCCAGGGACGUGCCCGGGGUUACCAGCCUGCAUGGGCAUUCAGCCCCUGGAGCAUGACUGAGCAUCUCCUGUGUGCCAGGCACGCCCCGGAUGCUGGGCACAGAGGCGGACAACCUCCUGUGCUCCCAGCACCUCCUGUCUGGUGAGCAGGGCCAGGCGCAGCCCCAUUGCCACGUCCGGUCCAGGGCUGCUCAUCACGGUGUCUCCCCUCAGCAGGGAAGGAGGAGGUUGGGGUGGGGAACAGAGCAAGUCCGGGACCAUUAAGUCUCUUUAAGUGUGAAGUUCAGGGCCUGCUCGGCUCCUUGGGUCACCCUCUCUACUUAGCAUCGUGGGGAUGAGAGUGCGAUUUGUGUCUGGCUGGGGUGGUGGCUGCCAUUUCUUGAUUGCCUCUGAGGGCCAGGCAUCUCAUCCCCCGUCUGAGCCUCAAGAGUAGCAGCUACCCUGUCGUGAGCGGGGCGCGUCCACGUACCUUGUAGACCACUUUCUUUAGAUGAAGGAGUUGAAGCCCAGAGAGGUUAAGUAACUUGUCAAGAUCACACAGGAAGUGUCAAGGCAUGAUUUUUUUCUGCUACAGUGUUAACAACUUUAACUUCCCCUCAUGCACAUAUUCUGUCAAAGGCUGAGGGCACACACAGUGGGAUGAAUCUCCACGAACCCAUCACCCAGCUUCAUCUCAGAGCUGUGAUUGGACCAGACGCUGGGCUCCAGAGGCUCUUUUCUGUCCCUCAGCAGCACCCCAUCGCCUCUGAAGGACUCACCGGUGCCCCCCAUCAGCCUUCGGGGUAUCACGGGGGCGCUUUGGCUGCCGGCUUGGGGCCCUGCGGUGGCUGCAGACUUCAGUGCCACUGUCAAACCCUGCAGGCCAGAGGCCACAGACUUGUCAGGAAGAGGUGGCUCAGAAGAGUGAAGCCAGUAAGGCAGCGGGUUAGGCCCUGAACCUAGGCCUGUGUGACUCAGCAGCCUCUGCCGUCCCCACCGGGUGCUGGGGGGCAGCACUUGUGCCCCAGAACUUGGUCAAGACAGAAAACGUGAACUGUGUUUCUGACCAAAUUCAGUCAUCGAGAUUUUAAAAUUCCGGCGCGCACCCGCACACCGCUCCUCAGACCAGAAGAUCCUGAAAUUGCUAAUUUGGAACAUUCCUGAAGGAGUCGUAAUUUGGAAUGUUCCUGAAGGAGUCGCUCUCGUUUUCUUUUUUCCGCCAUCUGAUCACUCCUGGAGAAUGUCCCCUGUUUGGCCAUGGCCUUCUGUUCGUCCAGGCGGCGGUGAGCAAGGAGGGGAUCCCAGUGGGCCAGGUUGCUGAACGCUUCCUUCCCAGCCCUUUAUGCCUCGCGGCAGAUCCGGUGCCAAACGCAGGAGUUCCGCUCGCCAAGACUCUAAAACAGACACUGUUGGAAAAGGGUGUGCGGACCGUUGCUCUGAGCUUACAGAUUUUAAACCUCAUCAGGCAGCAGCUGGAUUUCUCUUUAGGGAAUUGUGGCCAAUUUUGUGAGAACCUACUUCAGAUGUAUUAUAUAAAUUGAUGUAUUAAUUUGUAUGUAUGCAUAAAACAUGUUAUUCAAUGACUAAGGAAAUUAAUAGUUGUUUUAUAUUUAGUAAACAUAGUCUCACAUGCAAAAUACUACGCGGUGUUCUAGAAAUGAGGGAAACUUUUUCUAUAAAUUGUAAUGACAGAGUUAUGAAAGGCAGUGAAUUUAAGCCUUAACUAUGACUAGGUUUAAAUGGUAUCAACUUUGUAGUCAGUUAUUUUAAACCUGAACAGGGUGUAAUAUAAGACUCUGUCCCCUGGAGAGGUCACAUCUGCACCCCGUGUACAGGAGGACAUCUAUUUUUUUUUUUUUUUUUUUUUUUUUUUUUUGCUUUUUAGAGCUGCUCCGGGCACAUGGAGGUUCCCAGGCUAGGGGUCAAAUUGGAGCUAUAGCCCCUGGCCUAUGCCACAGCCACAGCCACCCCAGAUCCAAGAUGCGUCUGCGACCUACACCACAGCUCAUGGCAAUGUCGGAUCCUUAAUCCACUGAGCAGGGCCAGAGAUCAAACCUGCAACCUCAUGGUUCCUAGUCGGGUUUGUUUCCGCUGAUCCACGACGGGAACUCCUGGGAGAACAUCUCUCCUGCUCUGCAGGCACCUUUCUUGCCUCUUCCCUCCCAUCCUCUGCCCCAUCUUGCUAGCAGCCUGCUUUCCCCCUUCCUGUGGUCUGUGUUGCCCAUUCUUUUGUAUUGGAGAGAAGAAAAUAUUGAAAGAUUUUUAGUUAGAGCUUUAAAAAUAUGCAUACUGGAGUUCCCGUCGUGGUGCAGUGGUUAACGAAUCCGACUAGGAACCAUGAGGUUGCGGGUUCGGUCCCUGCCCUUGCUCAGUGGGUUAACAAUCCGGCGUUGCCGUGAGCUGUGGUGUAGGUUGCAGACGCAGCUCGGAUCCCGCGUUGCUGUGGCUCUGGUGUAGACCGGUGGCUGCAGCUCCGAUUGGACCCCUAGCCUGGGAAUCUCCAUAUGCCCCAGGAGCGGCCCAAGAAAUAGCAAAAAAAAAAAAAAAAAAAAAAAAAAAAAAAAAAUGCAUACCUAUUCUUAGACGUUUGUCUUUAAAAUUUAGGAAAUCCUCUUUGAUUAAAGCAAUUUUAUCAUUUGAAAGGACUUAUCCUGUGAAGAAGUGAUUUGUUGUCCUGAGGUGCGGUUUUUAAAAAAACCCCAAACAAGAGUAUGUUUCAGAACACAGUUCAUGGCACAUGUGACUCAGUUUCCUGCGUUGGCUCACUAGCAUAUUUUAGAAAUGCUGGUAACCCUCAUCUUGAAGUCGUCAAAGAGACCGUCUUAGCUCUGCAGUCUGACCGGGACCAAGACGUUAACUCGUUUGCCACACUGGAGCCAGAGCAGCAGACUGUCACAGACACUGCGGUGCUAGAAACGCGGAAUCAACCACUCCGGUCACACACAGUCCGGUCGAUUCAUGCUUGGCGCCUGUGGCUUGACCGUGUUGAAGGGGACCUGAAGGUCCCGCGCCUGCCUGGGGAGGAAGGGUUUCUGAAACUUUGGUAGCUGUGCACUCAGUUGGCCCCUUCCCCGUCUGCGGUCACAGGGGCUGCCCCCGGGGCGGGCCAGGCCCAUGCUGCGCUCCUGUGCCCCCCUUCCCUUCCGACGGGGAAGUCUGCGAGAAGGUUGCAGAACUGGGCGCCAGCUGGGCGUGGGGUCUCCGAGGCAUCAGACUGCCCACGAGUGUUUGUCUUCUCCAUUACAGGCUAUGUUAUUACCCCCCCCCCCAAUAAGGUGCUUUAUUAGAAGCUUUUAAGUCUUUAAUAGACUUGCAUAUUUGCCUCUUCCCACAUGCUUUCCUAUGAAAUAUAGUUUAUGGUAUUCUAUUUUAUUUUUAACUGAAAUACUGUACAUAUGUAAAUAAUUCUUGACAGGAAGAAAAUCUAUUAAUGUAAUAGUCGCCUCCUAUCAUUGAGCAGGACACAUACAUCAUUUAAAUUUAUGCUCCACUUUGAGUUGCUGCAAAUAUAGCCCAAUCUGUUUACUUUUGAAAAAUGCGAGUUAAAGAAACCUAUUAGGGAGUGAUUUAUGGCAGCCUUUCUAAUAUUGUACUUUUGCUAUAAACUGUCCUUGGAACUUUUCCUCAGCAUUCAUCUCCUCCUCUUCCGGCAGGAACUGUUUCCAUAAGAUAACGUGUCGGCCUUUAAUGGAAGCCUAAAGCAGAAAGGCCUUUCAUUCUUAUAUGGAUGUCUUAUCAUUUGUUUAAGAACUCGGGUGGGGGGGGAUUGAUCACUGAGAAGCGUGGAUGACGACUUUAAAUCUGAUGCUUCAGAAUCUCAGCGAAACAUAGGAAACCAGAGUUCUGACUGGUCUGUGUAGUUUGGCCACAAGUAGCAGUGAUUUGGGGGGGUUCAGUGAUAUAGUCUUCAAAUUGACCUAAGUCCACAGAACUUAGACUUCAUGCUUUUAAAAUUUAGGCUAAGAGAAAGGGACUCUGUAAUUUAAACAGGCUUUACAUUAACAAAUAACUCGAGGUUCUACAAGCAUUUGAUUAAACUCCUUGUACAUACAUACUGAUGUUAUGUUUCUUGUUUCUAUUUUUAUUUUCUCAAAGCCAGGCAUGAGGGGAGGGGGCAGCAGCCCAUUUGGGGUCCGAGAGCUCGCUGCCAAGGGCGUGUUAGCUGUUUCCAUUCUUCCCGUGGCUCUUUUUCUUAUCUUUCUUUUCUUUCUUUCUUUUUAAAAAUAAGAUCUGGAGCUAUAUAUUGAGUUUCCUGGUAUACAGGAUGUUCCUCCCCCAAAUUCCACGGGCUGACUCUGGAAAAAGAAAGGAAGGAAUCUAUACCGUGCCAAAGAAAAUAAGGCACAUGUAUGAGAAUUGCAGAUGGUAACCCAACAUUUUGGCAACUUGAGCAGAGAGUGAGUUAAUACUUUGGAGACUACAUAUAAAGGGGGAAAAAAAUCCAUCCAUCUUAUAUUCAGUACUUGCCUAGAGUAAAUAGAUGGAGCUAUUGUUUUGCUUUGGUAACAAGCAAUUUUUACUUUUUUUAAUUGCCUAGAAAUUGAGAGUGUCAUAUUGUUAAAAAUCUCUUGAUCUAGCAGCAAGUAGACUUCUUCAACUGGAAUCUGGUAUUCUGUUCAGAGCUUCAUUUUUCCAUUAAGAAAAAAAAAUUCGCUUGAAUUUGUGAGGAUGGGUUCGAUUUGCAUAUGAUUUGCCUGCGGAAUCAGAUGUGCUUGUAGAGGUUGUCAAGACUCUUUGGUAAAUAAUCUGACCUUUAAGUUUUGAGUGUCCGUGUUAAGAUUUUUCUGUAACAGGAAUGCCUUUCCAGUGAGAAGACAUUUUUAUGACUGUAUCUUCCCUGCAAAAAGUAUGUUUAAAGCUCACAUUUUAGUCUUGGUUUGUAACAGCUGAGAUGUUUCUAAGAUUGUUCUGGUUGCCCUUGCUGUUCUCAUGGAUUCAGCGCCCUACCCACUGACUGGUCACAGGUGUGGUUGUGAGUGUGUGUGAUUUCACCACCUGACGUCCCCUUCCUGUUGACUUAAACAGCCAGUUUCUUCCCGAGUCAAUGGAAAAGCACCAGCUGGUUUCUUAAAGGGGUCUCAGCGAUAGAACCAUCUCAGCGCCCCCCCCCCCCGUGACAUUUCACCCUUGUUAAGCAUUUUCAUCAGCACCUUUCCCACUCCAAGAAUUCGAGAACGUUUUCAAAGUUGAUGGGUCGUGAUGGAGCUUUGCAGAUUUUCAGAAAGAUCUGUCUUCCACUUCCGGGGUGCGACGUAUGGGGCUUUUUCACUGUCAAGUUGGGCCAGAUCUGCCUAAACGGAGUCCUGUUUCUGCAGUGUGGGUUUUUUUCCGUUCAUGCUAGAAAUGCGAUUUUUAAGCAUGACUAAAGACUGCACUUCACAACUCUCUGCUUUACCCAGCGAUGAUUCACGCAUAAUUCCUCCAGGUAGUUGGCCCCAAAUUGUGCAAUGAUUGUGUUUUAAACAGACACGGAGAAGAGAUCACAGGUGCCUAAACGGCCACAAGCCGCUCCGUUUUCCAGGUUACAGGAACUGACAUUAAGAGCAACUUGGAAGCUGCGAGAAGGAGUUGGGAUGUGGCCGGAGCUGGGUGCGCCGGGACGCGGGGCCUCUGGGCGGCGAUGCCUCUGUAUUGAUCUCAAUAAAUCUCCCUCUUACUUGAGGAA